UUUGCACCGAUCAGGACUUGAUGGUUGGGAACCAGAGAGUGUGAAGAUUAUCAGUCCAAAUUCGAGCCCUGUCACAUAUGACUUCAACACCUCCGCUCCCAAUGAGGAUUGGUACGGAGUCAAUUUGUGCCAGAUACAUCCUCCUCCUUCUCCAUUUGAACCUUCGCCUCCUUUUCCAUUUAAACCUCCGCCUUCUCCUCCAUCUUCUUCGCAUCAGCAUCGCGUUCCCGGAUUGUUCGGGCUCGUAAUGAUUCUGGGAUCCAUCCUGAGUGCUCUGUUGUAAGCGCCCUUGAUGGUUUGUUUGGUUUUAUGUAUGUGAUUCUGGGAUAGUCCU
rnacentral:lncRNA from 1 species